rnacentral:rRNA from 1 species
GACGAACGCUGGCGGCGUGCCUAAUACAUGCAAGUAGAACGCACAGUUUAUACCGUAGCUUGCUACACCAUAAACUGUGAGUUGCGAACGGGUGAGUAACGCGUAGGUAACCUGCCUGGUAGCGGGGGAUAACUAUUGGAAACGAUAGCUAAUACCGCAUAAUAUUAAUUAUUGCAUGAUAAUUGAUUGAAAGAUGCAAUUGCAUCACUACCAGAUGGACCUGCGUUGUAUUAGCUAGUAGGUGAGGUAACGGCUCACCUAGGCGACGAUACAUAGCCGAACUGAGAGGGGGAUCGGCCAACCUGGGACUGAGACACGGCCCAGACCCCUUCGGGAGGCAGCAGUAGGGAAUCUUCGGCAAUGGACGAAAGUCUGACCGAGCAACGCCGCGUGAGUGAAGAAGGUUUUCGGAUCGUAAAGCUCUGUUGUAAGAGAAGAACGGGUGUGAGAGUGGAAAGUUCACACUGUGACGGUAGCUUACCAGAAAGGGACGGCUAACUACGUG